AGCCAUGCAGUGAGCACAGAGCGAACUAUUCUUUCGCCUUUUACUAAAGAAUACCGCGUGCUCGCUACCCAAAGUGGCAUAUGCCUAUUUUUGGAGAUUUUCCCACAGGGACU
rnacentral:snRNA from 1 species